AUUGAACGCUGGCGGAAUGCUUUACACAUGCAAGUCGAACGGCAGCACGGACUUCGGUCUGGUGGCGAGUGGCGAACGGGUGAGUAAUGUAUCGGAACGUGCCCAGUCGUGGGGGAUAACGUAGUGAAAAUUACGCUAAUACCGCAUACGAUCUAUGGAUGAAAGCGGGGGAUCGCAAGACCUCGCGCGAGUGGAGCGGCCGAUACCAGAUUAGGUAGUUGGUGGGGUAAAGGCCCACCAAGCCAACGAUCUGUAGCUGGUCUGAGAGGACGACCAGCCACACUGGAACUGAGACACGGUCCAGACUCCUACGGGAGGCAGCAGUGGGGAAUUUUGGACAAUGGGCGAAAGCCUGAUCCAGCCAUGCCGCGUGCAGGAUGAAGGCCCUCGGGUUGUAAACUGCUUUUGUACAGAACGAAAAGGUUUCUACUAAUACUAGGAGCUCAUGACGGUACUGUAAGAAUAAGCACCGGCUAACUACGUGCCAGCCGCCGCGGUAA
rnacentral:rRNA from 1 species